UACGUAGGGUGCAAGCGUUGUCCGGAAUUAUUGGGCGUAAAGAGCUCGUAGGCGGUCUGUCGCGUCUGCUGUGAAAACUCAGGGCUUAACCCUGAGCUUGCAGUGGGUACGGGCAGACUAGAGUGCGGUAGGGGAGACUGGAAUUCCUGGUGUAGCGGUGAAAUGCGCAGAUAUCAGGAGGAACACCGGUGGCGAAGGCGGGUCUCUGGGCCGUAACUGACGCUGAGGAGCGAAAGCAUGGGGAGCGAUCAGG
rnacentral:rRNA from 1 species